GCCAGCAGGGCAAGCAAAACAAAGCUGUCCCCUCUCCCCCGUUAGCUCAAGGUCUGGAUCUGCCACUGGUAACCCGAAGAUGUAUCGUAUGUAUGUAGUUACGCAUCCCAUGCAGGGUGGAAGUACAAAAUAUACUCAGUACUCCUCUGUCACUUGAUGCUACUGAGCCCAGAGAUGUCAGAAUGAGUUUUCAUAUAGCCUUAAUGGAGACUUAACCUUCCCUCUUAACAGAUAUAUAGAUAACCUUUAUUUUAAAGCGAUGAGUAUUAAAGUUACAUGAGCUUGUGGGGUCAUUUGCAAUUAACAUGCCUGAUAAGCUUUGAUUCCAUUUUUAUGAUGGUGCAAAACAGCCACCUGAUCUUUGUGAAUCUAAAGACUGACUGUGUUACUUUGAUCUUACUAGUAAUUAUGUAAUCUUUUAUUGGUAUCAAUAACUAGGUUGCACAGAAGUGCCUGCCUUUUUACAAAGAGUAUUUUGAGAUUGGUUACUUGUUGCCCAAGCUUGACCUCAUUGCUAUCCAAGACUUUGUUAUAGGAGCUAUGGAAAACUGAGGUUUGGUCAAUAGUUAAGGGAGACCUGCUUGUUGAUUGAUCCAAAAGACUCUUCUGCUGCAGCUAAACAGUAUGUGGCACUGGUUGUUGGUCAUGAACUUGCCCAUAUGUGGUUUGGAAAUCUGGUAAUAAUUCAGUUCUUUUUUUAUAAUUACUGUUGAAAAUGUAAACUAGUCAUUCACAAUUAAUGUUACCGGUAAUUAAGAUUCAGACAAAAGCCUAAAGGCUUAUAUUCAGCGGAGCAGGAAAGUUGGUUGUGUUAUUUGAGGUUGGG